rnacentral:lncRNA from 1 species
GGGUGCCUGGAUUGGAACAAGGGCUUCGGCCUAACAGGCUGGUCGGAAAAGCCAAGGCCCAAGCUGGGGUGUUGGUGCAUGGUCACCCACAUGGUUGAAUCGUGGGCCCUGUUUCAGCCUCUGCUACCUCCCAGUCUCUGCCUAGAUAAGAUUUGAAGGAUGACACAGAACCUGCUUCCCUGGUGAAUCUGGGAACAGCCUCUUAUAGUACAGAGCCACUAUUUAUUCCGCCCUUGUGCUUCCCUUGAGUAUAAGUUAUGAUAUAUCAGCAUUGUCUUUGAGGUCUACUGAAUCUGUGGAUAUGCAAUACUCUGAAGAGUGGAGACGGAAUGAAGUUGAAAGGAUUCAUGAAUAAAAAGCUCAGUUGUUAUCAGAGCGUGGCACACAGCAGCUACUUGGAAUACUUUCUUUUCACAUGAUGGUCUCAGGUGAACUUUGGUGAGGAAAAUAAAUAUCCUACUGGGUAUAAAGCCUUAUAGGUC